AGUGAACGCUGGCGGUAGGCCUAACACAUGCAAGUCGAACGGCAGCACAGUAAGAGCUUGCUCUUACGGGUGGCGAGUGGCGGACGGGUGAGGAAUACAUCGGAAUCUACUUUUUCGUGGGGGAUAACGUAGGGAAACUUACGCUAAUACCGCAUACGACCUACGGGUGAAAGCAGGGGAUCUUCGGACCUUGCGCGAUUGAAUGAGCCGAUGUCGGAUUAGCUAGUUGGCGGGGUAAAGGCCCACCAAGGCGACGAUCCGUAGCUGGUCUGAGAGGAUGAUCAGCCACACCGGAACUGAGACACGGUCCAGACUCCUACGGGAGGCAGCAGUGGGGAAUAUUGGACAAUGGGCGCAAGCCUGAUCCAGCCAUACCGCGUGGGUGAAGAAGGCCUUCGGGUUGUAAAGCCCUUUUGUUGGGAAAGAAAAGCAGCGGGUUAAUACCCCGCUGUUCUGACGGUACCCAAAGAAUAAGCACCGGCUAACUUCGUG
rnacentral:rRNA from 1 species